GCGGAUGUAGGUCAGUGGUAGGGCACUUGUCUAGCAAGCACAAGGCCUGAGUUCAAUUCCCUGCACUAGAA
rnacentral:tRNA from 1 species